AAAGUCGUAACAAGGUCUCCGUAGGUGAACCUGCGGAGGGAUCAUUAACACGUUUCCAACAAAACGUUUCCAACCAAAAAACCGUGAACCCGAAACAACUCCCUUCUCGAACCGACGAAUGCGAUGAGUCAGGGUGGAGUCACUGCGGCCCAACGGCUGCAGGGACUGCUCUCCGUUCUAGGGGCCUCCGAGCUCCAAUCGAUCGAGAAGUGACCGUGCCACCACCUGGCAGACUGCAUUUCCAGUCCUCGGACCGGAUCUAAGCAGCGUCUGCCGAAUCACUCACAACCUUUUUAACCCCUUUAACCACAUACUAAUCUACUGAACCUUUUUUUCUGAUCACAUCCGUGUGGUCAUAAAAAGAUAUACGUAAUGCUGAACAACUCUUAGCAAUGGAUAUCUUGGUUCUC
rnacentral:misc_RNA from 1 species